GAAUAAGAGACGUAUCUCAAUUGUGAAGGGCAUUGUUAUCACAAGACCUAAUGCUGGACUAAAUACUACGUUUAGAUUAAGGAGGCUAGUGGCAGGGGUUGGAGUCGAAUCCCUCUUCCCGCUGUACUCGCCUAACAUAAAGGAAAUAAAGGUGCUGGACAAGAAGAAAGUGAGGCGUGCCAAGCUUUACUAUCUCAGAGACAAGAUGAAUGCACUUAAGAAAUAGUAGAAAGAAAUAGUUAGUGCAACUUUGAUUAUCCAUUCGAUUUAUUGAGAAAGUUGACAUAGACAUGCUGGUGAUAAAAAUGAGAG
rnacentral:misc_RNA from 1 species